AAUGAACGCUGGCGGCAUGCCUAACACAUGCAAGUCGAGCGGAAGAAGGGUGCUUGCUCCUGGAUUUAGCGGCGGACGGGUGAGUAAUGCCUAUGAAUCUGCCUGGCAGUGGUGGGUAAUGUCCGGAAACGGGCGCUAAUACUGCAUACGUCCUGAUGGUGAAACUGGGGGGUCUUUGGACCUUUCCCUAUCAGAUGAGUCUAGGCCGGAUUUGCUAGUUGGUGGGGUAAAGGCCUACCAAGGCGACGAUCGGUAACUGGCCUGAGAGGAUGAUCAGUCACACUGGAACUGAGACACGGUCCAGACUCCUACGGGAGGCAGCAGUGGGGAAUAUUGGACAAUGGGCGAAAGCCUGAUCCAGCCAUGCCGCGUGUGUGAAGAAGGUCUUCGGAUUGUAAAGCACUUUAAGUUGGGAGGAAGGGCAGUAAGUUAAUACCUUGCUGUUUUGACGUUACCAACAGAAUAAGCACCGGCUAACUUCGUG
rnacentral:rRNA from 1 species